rnacentral:lncRNA from 1 species
GUUAAGAUGUAACUGAAAAUAUGCUUCCCUCCUGAAACUUGGAAUCUUGCUUUUAAUUAUCAUUGAAAUGUCACCAGAGAUACAUUUAAACAGUUUUUGAUAAGACAUGGACUAACAAACCGAAUCCAACUGCUACAGGGACAUUUUUUAAUUUCACAGGUGGUUGAAAUAUAUACUGCGGCAGUAUAAAGGAGAAAAUGCAGCAGGAGCUACCCGUGAUAGGAGUCAAUACCUCUGUGAACAAGGAGAAGCACUACUAUCUUGGUUGAAAACACUCUUAUUCGUAACAAAACCGAAAGCUCCUGUGUCUGAUCUUUUAAUAGACUUUCAAGGACACAUUUUCAACAGGUAUGGGAAACCAGAAUACGCUACACCCAAAUGUGCCUCUUUGGCAGAAGUCUGAUUGGGCUGAAGGAAUUAAGAACAAGCAGAAGCAGGAAGGCUCUUUGCCCUCUCUCUAUUUGCCUAAAAUUGGGAUGUAAAUUUACAAAGACAAAAGCUAUUUCACCUCCCCUCUCUGAAAGAACAAAGGUUAACCACUGAAGAGAGUUUUUCACCCUUACGGGCCGGAAGAUGGCACCAGAGGAAACUACGUUAGCAAGCUUUGCAAACCAGCCUUUCUCUGCCAGUUAUUUUCCUUCCCCCACCUUGUGGCCCCUAGAGAUACAAAGUCUUUUUAUUUUUUAUUUUUUUUGUCUUGUCACUUCUCUAAGCAUUGACUGUUCUUUGUAGAAGAUCCCACAUAAGUUGGAAUUCAAGCCACCUCUUUGAAAAUUACUCAUUCCCUAGGUAUCUUCCAUGCGUGUAUUAAAUAAACAUAUUAAUAAACUUC